rnacentral:SRP_RNA from 1 species
UCUGGGGCUAGGCUGGGCGGUUAGCGGUCGCCUGUUUCCGGAAAUCCGCUUAUGCCGGAGCCGAAGCCUUGGGAGCGUGAUACAUGCGGCAGCUAAGGCUUAUGCCUUAGGCAAAGAAAGGCUGCCCUGAGAGGCAGUCCAUCAAAAUGAACCCGCCAGGCCCGGAAGGGAGCAACGGUAGUUUUGGUGGGCGUGCGCUCUUAGGAUCCAGCCUGGAGCCGAGGGCAUAAGUUCAGGCUGCAGGCGUGUAUUGCCAUCUCAAGGCGCGCCCCAUU